UUAUAACUAUAGCGAGUUACAGGACUGCAGCCAGGCUCCCAACCAAAGAGUUUCUCGCUGCAACGAGAAACUGAACACCAAGAAGAAAGUUCUCAUUAUAUCAAGAAAAGGUCAUCCUGCUGCAAUGACAAAGUCAACUUGAAAAUACUUAGCAAUUUCCAAGGUUCAACAUGCAAGAUUUCACAUACAUUACAACCAUAUACCAUAUUCAUGAACUUUCUAUUGCAUAAAUAUAUAUAUAUAUAUAUAUAUAUAUAUAUACACNNNNNNNNNNNNNNNNNNNNNNNNNNNNNNNNNNNNNNNNNNNNNNNNNNNAACCAUAUACCAUAUUCAUGAACUUUCUAUUGCAAUAAUAUAUAUAUAUAUAUAUAUAUAUAUAUAUACACAUAUAUAAACACCAAUACCACCACUUCACCCAGCUCAUGUGCAUCCCUCACAUCGUGCACAGCUAAUACCGUCGUGUGCAUCCCCUACAUCGUGCACAGGCAACAUCAUCAUCCACACUCUCGCACCCGUCAUCACCGGCAUGCGCAUCCCCCACAUCGCGCACAUUCACGGUUAUAUUUAUUACACAAUAUUAACUAUUGAUACACAACAUAUAUAUAUAUAUAUCAGCAUCCUAUAGGAGCACAAAGAUUCAUCAUAUUACACACUCACCACAUAAAAUGUUUUAAUAAAGGCUUGUUCCCAUGCAUAAUCUUUAAGGAAAAAUCAAAUAAAAAUCAUUCACAUGCUUCAUCCAAAUACCAAUACAUUUCCCAAAAUAUUUUAAAUGCAAGUUAACUCACCUUGGUGGAUUUGUAAUUGAAUUUCUUUUCAAAAUUCUUCCAAGCUAAGAAGGGAAAUCACUCCCUCUCUCUCUACACGUCCAACUAGUGAGUGAAUGUACUUAAGAAAGACUUUUGAGGGCUAUUAAGGUGUAAAAGUGGAAGAGCAUGAAAAACCCUAUGAAAGAGUGUAGAAAAACAUGAGAAAUAAAGCUAAUUUGGGAAAGUUUUAAAGGUUUCAAAGGAUACUUCCAUGAAAGGUGCAAAGAAACAUGGAAUGGAGAGGAGGAUAGGAGGAAGAAGAAGAAGAGAAGCUGUUAAAAAACUAAAAAAAAGCUGCUGGAGAUUAGAUAUUUAUAGUUAAAGGUUAUCCAAUUUUCAUAGAAUUUACAACAAUGCCCUUAACAAGGCCAUUUGUCUUCCUCCUUUCCUUUAUGCACUCUUUUUACUCCUUUAACAUUGAGACAAAGUCCAUAAUAGUCUAAAAGUACUCGAGUUUACGAAAACCUAAAAAUUUAUGCUCGAGGUGCAAAAUAAUCAUUUUACCCCUACCAUAGAAAUUAUCAAUAUUUAUAUCUACUUCAUGUAUUUUACCCUCAUUCAUUUAUUCCUUAAGCCUACUUAGACCUUAAUAAUGUCUGAAAGUCUACUUUUAAGGGCUCACCAUGAGAAAUGAUGAAAUUACCCCUAGCCUAUGUUAUCGCGUCUACACCUAGUUACGGGGCCUGUAGAAGUCGAGGUCUCACAGAUAAUUGUGUUAGGAAAGACACACGUGAUAUAGGUCAAAUGAUUUUUUCUAAGGAACAUAAUUCAAUGUUAAUGAGGUCUUCAAAGUUUGAUCCUGAAAAGUUUUGUGAAUUAGUGGUAGCUGCAAUUGUGAUGCAUAAUUGACCUUUAUCAUUUAUGGAGUAUACUGGCAUUAGGUCUAUGUUGCCUUAUUUGCGUGAAGAUGUUGUUCUGAUCUCUAGGAACAUUGUUAAAGCUGAUAUAAUUAAGAUGCAUAAAAGAGAAAAAAGUAAGAUACAAUACCUGCUUCAAGAAUCACCUGAUAAGAUUUGUUUAACUUCUGAUUUGUGGACUUCUGUUGUUAUUGAUGGGUAAAUUUGUCUUACUGCUCAUUUUGUUGACAAAAAUUGGAUUUUACAAAAAAAAAUCUUGAAUUUUUCCUUUAUGCCACCUCCAGACAAUGGUGUUGUUUUGAGUGAAAAGAUUUAUGCAUUGUUAGUUGAAUGAGGAAUUGAAAGUAAAUUGUUUUCAAUAACAUUGGAUAAUGCUUCUGCAAAUAAUACUUUUCUUGAUUUGUUGAAAGUGCAAUUGAAUAUGAGAAAGCAACUUUUAGGAGGAGGCAAGUUUUUUCAUAUAAGAUGUUGUGCUCAUAUACUUAAGUUGAUUGUGCAAGAUGGUUUGAAAGAAGUUGAUAGUGCAAUGCAAAAUGUGAGGGAAAGUAUUAAGUAUGUGAAAGGUUCUUUGUCACGACCCGGUACUCCCCUCGAGCCCAUGACAACUCCCGCGGUGUCCCGAUCGAUACUCAUUACCCGAAAUGUCAACCGGAACCCCGCAAGGCUUUAAUAUCAGUUUCUCAUUUUCGUUGUGAGUAACCGUUGCUGAAUAUCAUGUUCUAAAAGAUUUUAAGCUAUUUCCAACUUAAAUCAAUAAAAAANGGGAAUAGCUAAAGCUGACUUUUAACCAAUUUUAUGGAAUUUUUAUUCUUGAAGAAUUGUUAUUUCGUGUGCUAAUUUUAAACCAAAUAAAGGUACGAGAAAAGAGUGGGAAUAGAGGAAUAGAAGGGGAAUAACAUAGCUAUUCCCCAUACCAAACGUGCAGUAAGUCCCUAGGUAUGGAGAUGCCUAGGAACAUUUACGUACCUCUGGUCUGCCACAUACAAAAACUAAUCAGGCUUGUGCUUCUGUAUCCACGUCACAUUUACUUUUCAUUACCAAAGCCGUUGAUGUUGUCUGAUCUCUCUUGCCAAGAUUAAAUUCCACAAGCCCAUUCACUCUGUCACGACUCGGAACUCCCAUCGACCUGUAACAACCGUCGCGUUGUCCCGAUCGACACUCAUUACUCAGAUUGUCAACUGGAACCCUGCAAAGCUUUAAUAUCAGUUUCUCUUUUUCCUGGUGAGCAUUCGUUACCAAAUAUCAUGUUCUAAAAGAAUUUAAGCUAUUUCCAACUGAAGUCAAUAAAAAAAAUGAUUUAUGUCUCACAUGGGCAUUUUAGUCAUUUUUCCUCAAAAAUCUCGAAACUAGCUAAAAAUGUAGUAUGCAAGUGGAAAACACAUAUUUCAUAAUCAAAAAUAAGUUUAGAUAUCUAAAACAUUCAUUUAAAGUGAAAUUAUAACUAUUUGAAUAUAAUAAAAAUAUUUAAUAAAAUAUUCUAUUUUCUUAUAAAACAAUACUUAUAGAGUUACCUGUAAAUAAUUUUUGUAGCGUAAAAGCUAAAUAAAUUCAUAAAUACUGUAAUACAAAUAACCAAAGUAUAAAAUUUAAUUUACAGUGACACGUGGGCCCACGAACGACUAAAAGUAUCAAAAGCAAUAAACCUACAGUUUUUGAGGAUGCAAGUCCAACUGUAGCCCUCAACGAAAUGAGCUAUCUACUGACUAUCCUGAGCCUAAAAUGGGUAAAAAGGAGGGUGGUGAGAUUAUAUAAUCCCAAUGAGUAAACAAAUAUCAUCUAAAAUAUCUAAAGCUGAAUAAAUGGAGACAGAUAAAAUAGUUUAACAUACUGUAAUUCAUCACCUUUUAACUCAUUUCAACCAAAUAAAAUCAAUUCAUAUAAAUCGAGUAAUCAACAUGGCUUAUGAAUUUCUUAAAACUUUGGCUAGUGCCAAAAUUAUUCUCAUACUCAGUUAUCAGGGAUACCUUGGUCGAGGGCUAUCCCAACCGAGUCUGCCAAGGUUGUUAAAAAGUUAUGUACGCAUAAAUCAUGUUUUUAUUUUGGAAACAUAGUCGUUCCUUGGCGUUGGCUGAGUUCGCCCUCACAUGGUGGUUUGGCGUGAAGUGAACUCUAAAGUUUUAACCUCAUGAGUUAUCCAAUUGUGCCCCUCAUACUGAGGUAUGAAUAUUAUAGGGUUAUCGUGCCCCUCUAAUAGGCUGGUCCACGGAACCCGUCCACUGCAGCGACUAAUCAAUAACCCUCCAAUUCAAUAAAAUUCAAUAGCAUGACAUGGCAAUUUUAUCAUUAUCCAGCCUAUCAAGGCAAACAAUAGUUUAUGCAUUUUCAACACAAAUACCAAUUCAACCAUUCCUGCCAAUAUUAUCAUAAGCCAUUCAAUUCAAACCAUGAUUUAUAAAACAACAAUUAGUCUCCAAUUACUCCAUUUUCAAAACCAUCAUUCAAUUUCAAGACAAUUUUAUAAAAUCAUUUCAUUUAAUCACAUUUUGUUUAUAAAACAUAAAGAUUUACUAUUUAAACUCAUUUUCCAUAAAAUCACAAAAUCGGAUAAAAACCACUUUAGAUAAUUAAGAUGAUAGUAAGGUUACUCACUGUUUCAGGAGUCGAAUUUUGAGUACUCCGAUUCUUGAUCCUCAGGUACUAUCUCUUUACUUUUGCCAGAAUGCUCACCACCUAGACAUAAUGCACAAUAAGCCAUUUAAUACAUUUGUGCUAAAUUGUUAUAAAACCAAUUCAGGCUUUAUACUAAUGCAUGAAAUGGGAUGUGAAAUACUCGGUUAACUAUCUAAAUAUGGUGUUCAAUAUAAAUUCAAUUAUGUACCUAAAUAAAACGGUAUUGGCCUAAUUCGAUCUAUCACCCGAUUAAUUGGCCAAUACGUCCAAUUCAACUCCGAAUAAUUUCAUUUUUCUCCCAAUACUCCAAAUCAUCAAACACAAGUUAAAUAACUUGAAUUAUGGCAAAAUCAUCCUCACAUUUUCUCUUGGAAAAAUCGACCACGGUGGGUGCAUCAACACUAUAAUUUUUCAAGCUUGAUUCUCACACCAUAAAUCACUAAUUUCUAACCAAAUCACUUGAAAUAAAUCAAAAUCAUCAUCAAUACUCUACAAGGAAGAUUCAGCCAAUGGAGGUUCUUAAGAGGUAUACGGUUUUUCAUGCUAAACAUUACCAUUUUCAGUUUCCACCACCACAAUUCAUUAAAUUCUAACUAAAUAACAUAAGACAUCACAAGAUUCAUCUUCAAUAUUGUCUUUAUGAAAUUCAGCCAAUGAAGAAUCCAUGAAGAACAUGUGAUUUUUCUUACUUGUUUUCCUUCCAAACAUGAUAAAUCAACUAUAAACACUAAAAUAUCUCAAAAUCUAACCAAAUAAAUCAUCAAAUCUUCUCUCUCUAAAUUCGGUCAGCCAUGAAUCCUUCAUGAUAUCUUGUGAUUCAUCCAUGGAAAAUGCAAAAUAAUGCAUGGAAAAGGUAUAUCACAAGUCAAAAUCAAGAAAGUUUACCUUUGAUUGCUUGAUUACUUGAAAUCCAUCAAUUUUCUCUUGAAUUUUCACUCUAGGGUUUUUGUUCUUCUUUUCUUCCUUUGUUCUUGCUAUGGCCGGCCAUGAGAAAUGAGUUGGGA
rnacentral:lncRNA from 1 species